AUCCUCCAAAGAUGGACCAUCACCAUACCCACUAGCCUUAUACAAGAGUGAAGGUCCCUCAGUUUGUUAUUUUCACUUUUACCCUCUUAUUUAUUUAAUGGAACUAGCUUGAACAUUCACAUGAUAUUAAAUGGAACUUACGUUUUGCUUUAUUUCAGGUUGCUGACUUUGAAAAUUAGUGUAGCAGUUUUCAUUUCUAAUCCUUUGGUUGUUUAAGCAAGGUGAUGAAUGUGGUAACCUGGCAUAAUUAGGUGCUUCGAAUCUCAAUGUGAAUUACUCGUUCAGUAAUUUCUCGUUUAAGUGGAUGCCUGAACUUCGACGAUUUGCACCAAAUGUUCCGGUAGUACUUGUUGGGACAAAACUAGGUACACAUUACAGUUUAUAUGAUCAUGUUAUAUUUCAAUUAAUUAAUCUUCAUUAAAUACAAUAGGUGGCAUAAGUCAAAAUGUGUUCGAAGUAUGUUUUUAAUGCAUAAAAUAUCUUAAAUCUUAUCAACCCAACCAGACUUGAGCCGGAUCAAUUGAAAGCAAUUGAAACCGAUGAUUGAAGAGGCCAAUGGAAUCCGCCCCUGCGCUUCCAGCCCCCCCCCCCCCAUAUACUCAGGAAUUCUCUCUUUCAGGAGGCGGCAAUUGCGGGGGUUCAAAUUAUCCUCUUCCAAUUUACCUGUAAGGUAUACCCUAUUAUUUAUUUUACAUAUACAUACUGAGUUCUUUUUUUAACAUAAUGUGCCCUUCAAAAUAUCGGGCACUGGCCGGUGGUCCUCCCUGCCCACCCCCAGGGCCGCCCCUGCCUAUUUUGACGGUUACCCAACAUAUCUAUUGUUUAUCUAGAUUGUGGUCAAUUUCAGUCGAGACACGGUUUUUCUAAGGCUUUUGAAGCUGGUGGUUAAAGUCUGUAGCGGUGGUAGUGUCCUUAUACGCUGGGAGAGGCAACAUAAUGUGCUUUGAAGUUGCAGAUUUGUACUCCAAACUGACUGUAGUAUCAAACCAUAAUAUCUCAUGUUGUGUUUCUCUUCAUGUGUUUGGUACAAUUUCAGGUUUAGGCUAAAUUUUUUUGGGUUUGUGCUUGAUUCGACCUGUAAACAUGACCCUCAACAAAAAGAAAGACACCUCAACAACAAGGAUGGCCACACUACACGACCUAGCAGGUGACCAAUGAAUGUUUGAAGACGGGUUGUACAUCUAACAAAACUACUAGAGCGAUUUUUUUUGUAAGGUUAGAGUGACGGGUUAGAUUUUGUAAGUAACAAACUUCAUGCUUAACGUCAACAUUUGUAACA